CAGUAGCCGCGGUAAUACGAAGGGUGCAAGCGUUAAUCGGAAUUACUGGGCGUAAAGCGUGCGUAGGCGGUGAGUUAAGUCUGCUGUGAAAUCCCGGGGCUCAACCUGGGAAUGGCAGUGGAUACUGGCUCGCUAGAGUGUGUCAGAGGAUGGUGGAAUUCCCGGUGUAGCGGUGAAAUGCGUAGAGAUGUGGAGGAACACCGAUGGCGAAGGCAGCCCCCUGGGCCAAUACUGACGCUCAUGCACGAAAGCGUGGGGAGCAAACAGGAUUAGAUACCCGCGUAGUCCCUGUCUCUUAUAC
rnacentral:rRNA from 1 species